CACGUAGGGGGCAAGCGUUGUCCGGAUUUAUUGGGCGUAAAGCGCUCGUAGGUGGUUCGGUAAGUCGGGUGUUAAACCCCCAGGCUCAACCUGGGGACGCCACUCGAUACUGCUGUGACUAGAGUCCGGUAGGGGAGCGUGGAAUUCCUGGUGUAGCGGUGAAAUGCGCAGAUAUCAGGAGGAACACCAGCGGCGAAGGCGGCGCUCUGGGCCGGUACUGACACUGAGGAGCGAAAGCGUGGGGAGCAAACAGA
rnacentral:rRNA from 1 species